rnacentral:rRNA from 1 species
GAAUUUUGCGCAAUGGGCGAAAGCCUGACGCAGCAACGCCGCGUGAGGGAUGACGGCCUUCGGGUUGUAAACCUCUUUUGUCAGGGAAGAUGUUGACGGUACCUGGCGAAUAAGCCCCGGCUAACUCCGUGCCAGCAGCCGCGGUAAUACGGAGGGGGCUAGCGUUGUUCGGAAUUACUGGGCGUAAAGCGCACGUAGGCGGCUUUGCAAGUUAGAGGUGAAAGCCCGGAGCUCAACUCCGGAACUGCCUUUAAAACUGCAUCGCUAGAACGUCGGAGAGGUAAGUGGAAUUCCGAGUGUAGAGGUGAAAUUCGUAGAUAUUCGGAAGAACACCAGUGGCGAAGGCGACUUACUGGACGACUGUUGACGCUGAGGUGCGAAAGCGUGGGGAGCAAAC